rnacentral:lncRNA from 1 species
CUAACUCAACUUUCUGCUGACCUUUCCAGACAUACAAAUCAAAGUGAAAAAUAGAUUGGCAUCAUGCAUUGCAUGGAAGGGGUAAGAAGAAAGCAGGGUAUCAGCAAUAUUAUCUCAUAAGAGAAUGCAUUGAAGUAAAUUAGUUGGAUUCCUGAAAUUGUUUUUAAUAUACUUCUUCUCUAUUAAAGUUGAAAUUGUCAAUGAAGCCUUAGCAUAGCUGAUAAAAAUGAGGGAGACAAUAAUUGAAGAAACAAAAGAAUCUGAUGACCUCUGUUACUUAAGUCCAUACAAAUCAAAAAUAAUCCAUAGCAAUUUGCUGUUUAGUUGUUUCCUCUAUGAUCAUUAGUUUUCAGAGAUUACAAGUGCAAAACACACUUUUGGAUGAGGAAGCAUUUAAAAUACAGGGCUAGAGUCCACACUCAAAAUGAAAUCUAAAAAUGGGUAAAUUCUCAUCUCACAUUUAUAAACUUUCCUUUUUUUGAGUUGUAUGCAAAUAGGUUUCUCCACAAGGCCCCAGCUAAUGGGACUGCAAUUGAAAAGCUCUUUGAUGCCAGAAAUUAAUUUUAUACUUUUAUGCUAUUAAAAGGUAAUAUUUUCUUUGCUUUUCUUCUUAACAAUAGACUUUUCGUUAUUAUAAACAUAGUUAAUAUAUUUUAACUAGUCCAUAAGAAUUUUAAAAGCAUAGGGAUACAUAAACAUUAGCAUUAUCAUUUCACUGAACUUUUCUAAGAUCUUUACAUACAUGAUCUCAGUUUUUACUCACAAGUAAGACCUCCAAUGUUGGUAUAAUUAUCCUGAGUUGACAGCAAAAUUAUGAACCAGAGAGGAGUGAAAUAAUUUUUAUCAUUUCACACAUCUUGAAGGAGUCAGAGCCAGGAUCAAAUCAAUCAUAUUUUUUCAUCCAAAUAAAAUUGUUUACAUCUUAAUGUGCUUCCUUCUGUGUGUGUGUGUGUGUGUGUUGAUGUAAGAGUAUGGCAUACAUUGGUAUAAGAAUAUAUACAAAUUUAUAAUCCUGCAUUUUUCCUUAUUAUAAUAUGCUGCUUACUUCUUUGAAUAAAUAUCCUUAAUAAUGCUUACUUUUAAUAGUAGAUUAGAAUUUCUUCAUUUGUCUGAGCCAUCAUUUAUUUACCCACAUAUACGUUAUUGAUUCUUUCUAUAUUUUAAUCUUGUAAAUAGUACUGUGGUGAACGUCUUUGCACUUUAACUGCUGUUCAGUCCUCUAAAUUGAAGUAGAGGACUAUAUCAAUAACAAAAUUCUUUUAAUAUUUAUUAUAAAGUGGACCACUGUAGAAGAUACUAAACUGCCCUCCUACACCUGAUGCAAAAGACAUACAGUAAUGAACAUAACUGAAUGGGGGAGAAAGUAAGAGAAAGCCCAGAAGCUAUACUGACUAUUCUUUAUGAACCCAGGGAGAUCAGAGAGAUCUGUGUUAGCGGUUGCCCCAUGGAGCACUGCCAGUCCUUAGUGGACAGUAAGUACAUUUCAGGGACAAAGCAGAGGUACCUUAGAAAGCAGGAAGUUAGGACAAACAUCUCUGUUUACAAGAUCAGGCCACAGAGUGAGAUCUUCAUGCCUCACCCCACCAGAGUGAAUAUAUAAAACGUUCAUGCCUCUGUGUUAUGUCAGGGAGGAGGUGUCUUUGCCGAGAAUUCCUAACUAUAAGCUCAUCCUCCUAAGGAAUUUAAUGGCAGAAUUCACACUACUUGUGUGGCCCAAACUGAUAUUUAAAACGGAUAUUGUUUCAGGAUUGCCAGUGCCCCCAAGGAGCAGAGCACAAAGCUAACAAUUUUUCUGCAGGAAGUAUCUUAUAGCAGGGCUCAUAGGAAUGCUUAAAGCAAAAAAUUUCAUAGACCAUGAGAUCAAAAGGAACUAAUAUUACAUCAGAGAACACAAGUCACUGCAGAAAAUCAUUAGUGAUAUACUAUUAUAUUCCUGCCAAGUCUGAUAUGUUGGCAUGACCAAAUAUUGAAUAAAAAAUAAGUCUGUUUCAUAUAUUUUAAAAGGGGAGUCAAAAGAUGGUUAACAAUAAAAUACUAUGUAUAAAAUGGCCAGGCAGACUAGAAAAAAACUUUUAGAAGUUCAUAUUGUGGUAAUUAAAAUAAAGGAUUCAUUGGAGAGAUCAAACAGCUAAUUUGAAAAAAAAUUGAGGAGAGAAUGAGUAAAUUAGAAAUAGACACAAUAAAAUGCCUCUCAAAUAGAAUAUAAGGAGACAAAGAGAAGGGGAAUUUGAUUGAGACCUCAAAUCAUCUAAGAUAGAGUAAAAGUUAAAAGCACUUAUAUUUGAAGUAUCAGGAAGAGAUAAUAUAGACACUGGUGAUUGGACCCAGAGAGAGAAAGUUCCUGACUAAAGAGGAACGCUUCAAGUGUCUCCUCCAGAGAUUUGAAAUUGAAAAUAGCAAGUUUCAGUGUUAUUUUCUUGUCUCCUAGAGCAUGAAAAUGCAAAUAAGGGAAGGGUUGAUAGAUAUUUCCUACCUUAAACUAAAUAAACCAUUAAGUACAUUACCUACUAAUCUAAACUCUAGUUUAUUCAAAAAUAAACCAGGGCAACAAUCAACCUCAUAACAUGUUAAGGCAAACUAACAAGAUAGUGUAUAUAAAUCACUUGGUAUACUUAAUGGCACAUUAUACGUGACCUAUAGCUAUCAGUUACUUUUAAGGCCAUCGUUUAAUCAAUGUAUUCUUGAUUGAUCCUUGAUGUUAAGGAGAAGAAGGGAAGAGCUACCAGUGCAAACAGAGACAGAGAGGGCUUCCUGAGUUCCUUAGAGCUGUCUAGACCUUUGGAUUCUUUGCACAAUGAGUCCUGUACUGUUUAUUUCAUUAAAAAAUGAACUCAAGUGAGCUUUGUUACUGUCAUAGAAAUGCCCCAAAUAAUACAGGCAGAGAGUAACAUUAAGAUGUUGGGGACAUAAUAAAGAUCACCACUGCCCUUUGUUUUGGAGAUUCCUAUUUUUGCUAAGUCGUUUAGCCUAUACAGACUAAUUAACUGUGUAUUCCUCUUGCCCCUGAGGCUGCUAGUGUAAAUAAAUGGCAUCUCUUGGCUGAUAAACAAUAAUGAUAAACAUCAUAUUUUAAAUAAAUUUUAAAAAAACACCUACCUAAGCCACACAUUUUAUUAGAAAUAAAGUUUACAAUAUUUAAAUAAAAACACUGGGUGCUUCAAAACAGAAGCUUCUCUCUGCUUUAUUUAUGUCAGCAGUUGUUUUAUAAUAAGACAGUACAAAGAGGUGACUCUGAGUGGUGGCCCCCUGGGCACCAUGCCAAACCUUCACCUCAAAUCUCCAUGGUACCUUCACUGUUUGGGGUGGUUCAUCAUCAGGCAGAAAUCUUGUUCAGCUCCUGGAAGUACUAACUCACAUUCCUGGUCUAACUGCCAAAAGAGCUUUAACUUUAACAUACAGAUCAAUCUCUUUCUCAAAAAACAAUGAUGAUUAAACAAAAGAUAAAUAAGAUUUAGAAAUCUUGAGUAAGAUAUGUAUUCAUCAGUAUUGCCCAUUCUAAGAGGAAAAGCAAACCAGAAAGAAAUUCGAAAGUCAAGUCUGUGAAAACAAGAUAGUGUCUCAUUGGAGGGUGUAAUCAUUACAAUAUACGAGAAGAAGUAAACUCACUUCACACUGAAGAUAUUUUUCAUGCAUUCAUGGUGACAAGCCUUGAAGUUUUCUUUUGCUGAUAUAUAAAAGAUAUUGUAGAGUGUUAUGACAUAUUAUUUCUUGGUGCUUUUUUUUUUCUUAAUGACUUUCCUAAGACAAUGUGAUAUAAAUUGCUACUAGCAUAAAACACAUUUCUAGCAAUAGAUAAAAGUGGAUUUUUGGCUACAAGAAGCAGUUGUUUCAACACCUGCUUCAGAGAGAAUACAUUGAAUUAUAUGCCUUCUAUUAUUAUUUGAGUAAUGCUAUCCCUGUUGUUUCUCUUUGGGGAGCUAAAUACUAAUAUCUUAAUUUUAAGACAUCAAUAUUAGUUUAAUGAGUAAGACAUAAUUGUAAAACUUGCUAAUAAUGUCCAAGAAACAUCUUUAAUAAAAUAGCAAAAUCAUAAACUCAACAUUUAGAGUUUUAAACCUUAACAGAAUAUAAAUCAUCAACUUUCUAUAGACUCAAAGUCAAUAAGAGAAGGAGAUCUUUUUUUUUUUUUCUUACAUCAGUUGAUUUGCAAUAGGCUUAAGGCCCAAGACUUCUCUAUGAAAAAUAUUACUUCACAAUAAAAUAACAUUUUAAGAAGUUAUAGUUUAUUAAUUAAAAAACUAACAAAUAAUACAAAGCGAUAGCUAUUAAAUUAUAAAUUCUGGAACCAUAAAGAGAAAUAAUUCAGGAGUUCCCGUUGGCUCAGAGGAAACGAAUCUGACUAGGAACCAUGAGGUUUUGGGUUCGAUCCCUGGCCUGCUCAGUGGGUUAAGGAUCCGGGGUUGCUGUGAGCUGUGUGUAGGUUGCAGAUAUGGCUCGAAUCUGCAUUGCUGUGGCUGUGGUGUAGGUCACAGACGCAGCUCAAAUCUUGCGUUGUUGUGGCUAUGGCAUAGGCCAGCGGCUACAGCUCAGAUUAGACCCCUAGC